UCCAUAAUUUUGAAGAUAUAGAUUUCCCAUUUUGCAAGCAAUUCUGUGAAUCAGUUAUUUUUGACUGUAUUAACCCAGCAACACUAAUGCAUAGUAGGGAUAUAUUUUGCUUCAUUUUGUUUUUGUGUAUCUAGGGAGGUGGAGAAGAAGAAAAAACUGUGUGAGAGACUAAAGGAACAACUGAUGAAGCUAACGCUUCAAGCCACAGACAAGGAAGAAAAUAAACAGAUUGCCUUGGGCACAUCCAAGUUGAACUACCUUGACCCUAGGAUUACAGUAGCCUGGUGCAAGAAAUAUGGAGUGCCCAUAGAGAAGAUUUAUAACAAAACACAGAGGGAUAAGUUUGCCUGGGCCAUCGAUAUGACAGAAGAAGACUUUGAAUUCUAAUUUCAUUAUGCAUUUAUUCAGUUGACCAAAUUCUUUUUUACUUUCUGGUGCUGCUGUCUGAAUUUAGACUAUGAUAAACGUAUUUCUUGUUUUCCACUUUGUACAGGAUACUCAUUUUGUUAACUAACUUAUUGGAAGGCUGACAAGCCACUGUCCCUGUAAGUGACAAGACAGCUCAUAGCUAAAUGACUAAGUAAUGCAUUUCAUGUAUACAUAAAUAUCUUCUAAGUAGCACUUUCAUUUGCACUUUAUUUUUGUGAUAAUUGAUUUGCCCUGUGACUGAUAUUUGCCGGCCGAUUAUUGCACACAACUUUUUUUGUUUUCAAAAAUACCCUUUACCGAUCCAAUAUAACCAUGCAGUUUUUGCAUCAGAUAACCUGUUUCUCUUUCCUUAUUAUUGGUAAAGCACUAUAAAAGCCUGUUUGACCCUUUGCCUGUUGGUACUGGUUUCCAUUACUGUUUGUUUUUUGAUUUCCAUGCGUUUCCUUGACCAUAAACUGAGAACAUUUAAAUUAUAAGAAUAUAUUUACUUCUUGAAACAAUACAUGUUCCAUAAAUCAUGUUCCAUACUAGAAUGUAGUAUGGGACAUGUUAAUUAUCUUUUUGUCUAUUAUGAAGACUGGUUUUCAGUUCUGUUUUUGUGAAAUGCAACGACAGAUGUGAAUAUUUCUUGUGCUCAUUACUUAAAAACCCAGCAAUAUCUUGUAGUACAAGCAGAAGAUCAAGCCUCAUUCACCACUCAUAAUAUAUUUUCAACUUUAAUUGAAGGCAAACUAAGUAUAACUUCUGUAGCAAUAAAAUACAAACAUGCUGUCGUUCUAGGUAAGCCUGGAAAACAGUAAAAAAAAAAUUGUUGCAAGAUUUUUUUGUUAAAUGUGCAUUUACAACAAAAAGUUUGUAAGAUAAACGUAAUUUUUUUUUUGCUUUUCUUACCAUGAAAGCGCAUUUGAUUAAAACUAGUGUUUUUGUGUAA